rnacentral:piRNA from 1 species
UGCCACGCACGAUUCACAUUUUACAGAUGA